AGCGAACGCUGGCGGUAGGCUUAACACAUGCAUGUCGAGGGGAGCGGCAGACGGGUGAGUAACGCGUGGGAACGUACCUUUUGGUUCGGAACAACACAGGGAAACUUUUGCUAAUACUGGAUACCGAAAGAUCGGCCCGCGUUGGAUUAGCUAGUUGGUGAGGUCAUGGCCCACCCAGGCGACGAUCAGUAGCUGGUCUGAGAGGAGGAUCAGCCACAUUGGGACUGCGACACUGCCCAAACUCAUGCGGGGGGCAGCAGUGGGGAAUAUUGGGCAGUGGGGGCAACCCUGAGCCAGCCAUGUCGUGUGAGUGAUGAAGGCCCUAGGGUUGUAAAGCUCUUUUGAGCGGGAAGCGGAACCGCAAGAAUAAGCCCCGGCUGACGUCGUGCCAGCAGCCGCGGUAAUAC
rnacentral:rRNA from 1 species